UACGUAGGGUGCGAGCGUUAAUCGGAAUUACUGGGCGUAAAGCGUGCGCAGGCGGUUUUGUAAGUCAGAUGUGAAAUCCCCGGGCUCAACCUGGGAACUGCGUUUGAAACUACAAGGCUAGAGUGUAGCAGAGGGGGGUAGAAUUCACGGUGUAGCAGUGAAAUGCGUAGAGAUGAUGGAGGAAUACCAAUGGCGAAGGCAGCCCCUGG
rnacentral:rRNA from 1 species